AAGGCCCAGAGCCAGAUAACUAAACGUGGGCCGCAACAAGGCCCAAAUAGGGAGCAUACAAGCCCAGGAAGCACUCGGCUAGGGUUUCCUAUAAAUGUGAAUCAUGUCGCAGGCGGCACUCUCAUAUCGAUCUGGGGUACUUGAACAGUAGCAGCCAAGGGCGGGGAGAGAAAGAGAGCUAGGGUUCUUGACGGCCUAGGAGCGAAGGAGCACAUCAACUUUUUACCAUGAGAGCGAAGUGGAAGAAGAAACGCAUGAGGAGGUUGAAGAGGAAGCGCCGAAAGAUGAGGCAGAGAUCCAAGUAAAACCCUCAGUCGGCGAUGAUAGAGACAUCGGAGUUUCUGGUUUUGUUGUGGGCUUUUGUUUUUUCUUUUGGGUUAAAGUUGAGAACUUUAAGAAUUAGUGUUGGAUGUUGAAUCUAAAUAUUUGGUAUUAUUCUCCGAAUCAAAUGCCUGCUUUGAAUCUCA